rnacentral:rRNA from 1 species
UACGUAGGGUGCUAGCGUUGUUCGGAAUCAUUGGGCGUAAAGCGCGUGUAGGCGGUCAAGUAAGUCUUGUGUGAAAUCCCUGGGCUCAACCGAGGAAGUGCAUGGGAAACUACUUGGCUAGAAGAUGGCAGAGGAAGGUGGAAUUCCUAGUGUAGAGGUGAAAUUCGUAGAUAUUAGGAGGAAUACCGGUGGCGAAGGCGGCCUUCUGGACCAUUCUUGACGCUGAGACGCGAAAGCGUGGGGAGCAAACAGG